rnacentral:rRNA from 1 species
CAGUAGCCGACCUGAGAGGGUGAUCGGCCACAUUGGAACUGAGACACGGUCCAAACUCCUACGGGAGGCAGCAGUGGGGAAUAUUGCACAAUGGGCGAAAGCCUGAUGCAGCAACGCCGCGUGAGUGAUGAAGGCCUUCGGGUCGUAAAACUCUGUCCUCAAGGAAGAUAAUGCCGGUACUUGAGGAGGAAGCCCCGGCUAACUACGUGCCAGCAGCCGCGGUAAUACGUAGGGGGCUAGCGUUAUCCGGAUUUACUGGGCGUAAAGGG